GGCGGCAUUGGCCAGGUCGGUGAUGCGGCGGUUGGUCUCGGCGACCUUCUUCCGCAGGUCCUCGGGCCGCGCGGCCGCUCCGGGGUCGGCGGUGCCGCCG
rnacentral:tRNA from 1 species